GAGGAUGUGGUUCAAUGGUGUAGCUCUUGCCUUGCAUGCACAAGGUCCUGGGUUCGAUCCCCAGCACCACCA
rnacentral:tRNA from 1 species